rnacentral:rRNA from 1 species
UGUAUUUAUUAGAUUAAAAACCAAUGCCCUUCGGGGCUCCUUGGUGAUUCAUAAUAACUUAACGAAUCGCAUGGCCUUGUGCCGGCGAUGGUUCAUUCAAAUUUCUGCCCUAUCAACUUUCGAUGGUAGUAUAUGGGACUACUAUGGUUUCAACGGGUAACGGGGAAUUAGGGUUCUAUUCCGGAGAGGGAGCCUGAGAAACGGCUACCACAUCCAAGGAAGGCAGCAGGCGCGCAAAUUACCCAAUCCCGACACGGGGAGGUAGUGACAAUAAAUACUGAGACAGGGCUCUUUUGGGUCUUGUAAUUGGAAUGAGUACAAUUUAAAUCCCUUAACGAGGAACAAUUGGAGGGCAAGUCUGGUGCCAGCAGCCGCGGUAAUACCAGCUCCAAUAGCGUAUAUUAAAGUUGUUGCAGUUAAAAAGCUCGUAGUUGAACCUUGGGCCUGGCUGGCCGGUCCGCCUCACCGCGUGCACUGGUCCGGCCGGGCCUUUCCUUCUGGAGAGCCCCAUGCCCUUCACUGUGGCGUGCGGGGGAACCAGG